rnacentral:rRNA from 1 species
GACGGAGGAUGCAAGCGUUAUCCGGAAUUAUUGGGCGUAAAGCGCACGUAGGCGGAUUUGUAAGUCAGGGGUGAAAUCCCGGGGCUCAACCUCGGAACUGCCUUUGAUACUGCAAGUCUCGAGUCCGAUAGAGGUGAGUGGAAUUCCUAGUGUAGAGGUGAAAUUCGUAGAUAUUAGGAAGAACACCAGUGGCGAAGGCGGCUCACUGGAUCGGUACUGACGCUGAGGUGCGAAAGCGUGGGGAGCAAACAGG